UACGGGGGGGGCAAGCGUUGUUCGGAAUUACUGGGCGUAAAGGGCUCGUAGGCGGCCAACUAAGUCAGACGUGAAAUCCCUCGGCUUAACCGGGGAACUGCGUCUGAUACUGGAUGGCUAGAGUUUGGGAGAGGGAUGCGGAAUUCCAGGUGUAGCGGUGAAAUGCGUAGAUAUCUGGAGGAACACCGGUGGCGAAGGCGGCAUCCUGGACCAACACUGACGCUGAGGAGCGAAAGCCAGGGGAGCAAAGCGGGG
rnacentral:rRNA from 1 species